UACGUAGGGUGCGAGCGUUAAUCGGAAUUACUGGGCGUAAAGCGUGCGCAGGCGGUUCGUUGUGUCGGCGGUGAAAGCCCCGGGCUUAACCUGGGAAUGGCCGUUGAAACUGGCGAACUGGAGUGUGGCAGAGGGGGGUGGAAUUCCGCGUGUAGCAGUGAAAUGCGCAGAUAUCAAGAGGAACACCUAUUGCGAAGGCAGCUCGCUGGGACGUGACUGACGCUGAGACGCGAAAGCGUGGGGAGCAAACAGG
rnacentral:rRNA from 1 species